CAGGAUAUCCAGUUAAGUUUAAAUUUCAGAUAAAUAAUCAAAAAUUUUAAAGUAUGUCUCAUGCAAUAUUUGGGACAUACUUAUGCUAAAAACGUAUUCAUUAUUUAUCUGAAAUUCAAAUUUAACUAGGCUUCCGGUA
rnacentral:miRNA from 14 species